UAUUGGCAUGGACUACAAAACUUCGGGCACAG
rnacentral:piRNA from 1 species